GGGAACUGGGGUUAUUUAAUCUGCAGAAGAGAAGAGUGAGGGAGGAUUUGAUAGCAGGCCUUCAAUUACCUGAAGAGUGGUUCCAAAGAAGAUGUAUCCAGACUGUUCUCAG